GAUGAACGCUGGCGGCGUGCCUAAUACAUGCCAGUCGAGCGAACGGACGAGAAGCUUGCUUCUCUGAUGUUAGCGGCGGACGGGUGAGUAACACGUGGAUAACCUACCUAUAAGACUGGGAUAACUUCGGGAAACCGGAGCUAAUACCGGAUGAUAUUUUGAACCGCAUGGUUCAAAAGUGAAAGACGGUCUUGCUGUCACUUAUAGAUGGAUCCGCGCUGCAUUAGCUAGUUGGUAAGGUAACGGCUUACCAAGGCAACGAUGCAUAGCCGACCUGAGAGGGUGAUCGGCCACACUGGAACUGGAACACGGUCCAGACUCCUACGGGAGGCAGCAGUAGGGAAUCUUCCGCAAUGGGCGAAAGCCUGACGGAGCAACGCCGCGUGAGUGAUGAAGGUCUUCGGAUCGUAAAACUCUGUUAUUAGGGAAGAACAUAUGUGUAAGUAACUGUGCACAUCUUGACGGUACCUAAUCAGAAAGCCACGGCUAACUACGUG
rnacentral:rRNA from 1 species